AAGACUAAGAGAUGGACAGACAGAGACCUGGCAACUGAGGCCCAGAGAGGCUAAUUGACUUGCUCCAAGUCACACAGCUGGUCAGUAGCAGAACUGGAACCCAACCCUAGGGACCAUCACCCUUCAGAUCAUUGCAGAUGUAAUCUGAAGAUCCUUGUGAGGACGGAGGCAGACGUUGGUGUGACGCAUCUAUGAGCCGGAGAGCACCUGGGGCUACCAGAAGCUGGCAAGAGGCUAGGAAAGAUCCUCC